rnacentral:tRNA from 1 species
AUGUAGCUCAAUGGUAGAGCACUUGCCUUGCAUGUUUGAUGCCCUGAGUUCAAUCCUUAGUAU